rnacentral:rRNA from 1 species
UACAGAGGGUGCGAGCGUUGUCCGGAAUCACUGGGCGUAAAGGGCGCGUAGGUGGCCUGAUAAGUAGGGGGUGAAAUCUCGAGGCUCAACUUCGAGGCUGCCUCCUAAACUGUCAGGCUUGAGCAGAGUAGAGGCAGGUGGAAUUCCCGGUGUAGCGGUGGAAUGCGUAGAGAUCGGGAAGAACAUCGGUGGCGAAGGCGGCCUGCUGGGCUCUUGCUGACACUGAGGCGCGACAGCGUGGGGAGCAAACAGGAUUAGAUACCCUGGUAGUCCACGCCGUAAACGAUGGGUACUAGGCGCCGGGGGGAGCGACCCCUUCGGUGCCGUCGCUAACGCAAUAAGUACCCCGCCUGGGGAGUACGGCCGCAAGGCUGAA